GUUCUCAUAGUUGAAUAUGCAACGAUGAUUUUUCAAGUCAUUAGUCUCGGUUUAAGUCCGGGUGAGAAUU
rnacentral:tRNA from 1 species